rnacentral:rRNA from 1 species
AACGAACGCUGGCGGCAGGCUUAACACAUGCAAGUCGAACGCCCCGCAAGGGGAGUGGCAGACGGGUGAGUAACGCGUGGGAAUCUACCUAGUUCUACGGAACAACUGAGGGAAACUUCAGCUAAUACCGUAUACGCCCUAAGGGGGAAAGAUUUAUCGGAAUUAGAUGAGCCCGCGUUGGAUUAGCUAGUUGGUGGGGUAAUGGCCUACCAAGGCGACGAUCUAUAGCUGGUCUGAGAGGAUGAUCAGCCACACUGGGACUGAGACACGGCCCAGACUCCUACGGGAGGCAGCAGUGGGGGAUAUUGGACAAUGGGCGCAAGCCUGAUCCAGCCAUGCCGCGUGAGUGAUGAAGGCCUUAGGGUUGUAAAGCUCUUUCACCGAUGAAGAUAAUGACGGUACCCACAGAAGAAGCCCCGGCUAACUUCGUGCCAGCCGCCGCGGUAACAC